CUGUGAUGCCCUUAGAUAUUCUGGGCCGCACGCGCGCUACACUGACAGAGCCAGCGAGUUCUUUUCCUUGGCCGGAAGGUCAUGGGUAAUCUUGUGAAACUCU
rnacentral:rRNA from 1 species